rnacentral:tRNA from 1 species
GCGGGUAUAGUUCAGUGGUAGAACACCUCCUUGCCAAGGAGGAUGUCGUGCGUUCGAGUCGCGUUACCCGCU